rnacentral:rRNA from 1 species
GUCUGUUUGUUUUAAAUAAAAAGUCUAGCCUGCCCACUGAAGUAUUAAAGGGCCGCGGUAAUUUGACCGUGCGAAGGUAGCAUAAUCAUUAGUCUUUUAAUUGGAGGCUUGUAUGAAUGGCUGGAUGAAAGACAUUCUGUCUUUUUCUCAGGAAAAGAAUUUAACUUUUAAGUGAAAAGGCUUAGAUUUUUUGAAGUGACGAUAAGACCCUAUAAAACUUUAUAUGCUUUCCCUUUGAUUGAUGAUUAGAGUUUAACUCAAUUUUGGUUGCGGCAUAUUUCGUUGGGGAAACGUUGAUAUAAAAGAGUAAUUGUUUGUUAAAAUUAAUAGUUAAUAGCUAGGUUAUGAUCCCUUCUUAUGGAUUAAAAGGUUAAGUUACUUUAGGGAUAACAGCGUAAUUUUUCUUGAGAGUUCUUAUCGACAGAAUAAGUUGCGACCUCGAUGUUGAAUUAAAGUUUCAGGUAGGUGUAGCCGUUUAUCUGGUAGGUCUGUUCGACCUUUAAAGCUUUACAUGAUUUGAGUUCAAACCGGUGUGAG